GACGAACGCUGGCGGCGUGCUUAACACAUGCAAGUCGAACGGAAAGGCCCUGCUUUUGUGGUGUGCUCGAGUGGCGAACGGGUGAGUAACACGUGAGUAACCUGCCCUUGACUUUGGGAUAACUUCAGGAAACUGGGGCUAAUACCGGAUAGGAGCUCCUGCUGCAUGGUGGGGGUUGGAAAGUUUCGGCGGUUGGGGAUGGACUCGCGGCUUAUCAGCUUGUUGGUGGGGUAGUGGCUUACCAAGGCUUUGACGGGUAGCCGGCCUGAGGGGGUGACCGGCCACAUUGGGACUGAGAUACGGACCAGACUCCUACGGGAGGCAGCAGUGGGGAAUAUUGCACAGUGGGCGGAAGCCUGAUGCAGCAACGCCGCGUGCGGGAUGACGGCCUUCGGGUUGUAAACCGCUUUCGCCUGUGACGAAGCGUGAGUGACGGUAAUGGGUAAAGAAGCACCGGCUAACUACGUG
rnacentral:rRNA from 1 species